UUUUAGGCUGAUCUGCAGCCAAAUUUUCAGCAUAGCCCCAAUAAACGGUUGGUCUCGGAUCAGAUCUCUAGACCCAUUCUGCUGGUGGUAUCCGACCUCCCAACAAACCCUUGUCAAGCAGACUCCAUGAUUUAUUGGUGCGGGUUGCAUGCCAGUUCACCAUCCUCAUUAGAUGGGCUGCACAAUAAUAUCUCAGAAAAGAGGGCAGACCUAACCCAAUCCCAUGUUUGGAUCUCAUUAGUUGUGUCAUGCGGAACCUAGGC